AGUGAAUGAUGACAGUAACAACACAGCUGAGUUUUCUUUCAUGGAUAAUGAAGUGAACAACACUGCUGAUUUUUCAAUCAUGGAUAAUGAUUGGAAGACUCAUUUGGAUCCAAAGACAGCUGCAUUGUUGUACAGAAAACAAAUACUUCAGCUACAUGAGACAGGGAAGCCCCUUUUCAUGUCUAUGGAUCUAAGAUCAAGUGUGGAAGAACAGGACAGGCAGCUAAUCAACUUCUACAAGCAAAGAAACGUGGAGUGGGCAUGUCCUGUUAAAUGUCAGCUUCAAGGAGAUGCUGCAGUUGGUGAUGGUGUUUCCAGACAUUUUUUUUCCACAGUUCUGGAAAAACUGAAAU